GCAUGGCCGAAUUCUGUGUUACUCUGUCAGUAGUAAACUCAGUCAGACACCAUGCAACAUCAUCUGCACCUCUCAUGUCAUUUAAUGAUGGCAUUAAACCAAUACCAAUGUUUAUUAAUGAGAGCUGCCACACAG